AAGAAUAGUAGUUUAAUUAGAACACUGCAUUGUGAUUGCAGGGGUAUACUAUUAGUAUCUUUCUUC
rnacentral:tRNA from 1 species